rnacentral:rRNA from 1 species
CGGCGUCACGAGUGGCAAUCAUGAUUAUUGGGCCUAAAGCGUCCGUAGCCGGUCUGAUAAAUUUCUUGUGAAAUUGUUUGGCUCAACCAAACAGCGUGCAAGAAAGACUGUCAGACUUGAAACCGGGAGGAGCUAGAGGUAUUCCAGGGGGAGCGGUAGAAUGCUAUAAUCCCUGGAGGACCACCUAUGGCGAAGGCUUCUAGCUAGAACGGAUUUGACGGUGAGGGACGAAAGCCAGGGGAGCGAUCCGGAUUAGAUACCCGAGUAGUCC